AGAGUUUGAUCCUGGCUCAGGAUGAACGCUAGCUACAGGCUUAACACAUGCAAGUCGAGGGGAAACGAUAUUGGAAGCUUGCUUCCGAUAGGCGUCGACCGGCGCACGGGUGAGUAACGCGUAUCCAACCUGCCCAUCACUUGGGAAUAACCUUGCGAAAGUAAGACUAAUGCCCAAUGACAUUUAUAGAAGGCAUCGGAAAUGAAUUAAAGAUUUAUCGGUGAUGGAUGGGGAUGCGUCUGAUUAGCUUGUUGGUGAGGUAACGGCCCACCAAGGCGACGAUUGGUAGCCGGACUGAGAGGUUGAACGGCCACAUUGGGACUGAGACACGGCCCAGACUCCUACGGGAGGCAGCAGUGGGGGAUAUUGCACAAUGGGGGAAACCCUGAUGCAGCGACGCCGCGUGGAGGAAGAAGGUUUUCGGAUUGUAAACUCCUGUCGUUAGGGACGAUAAUGACGGUACCUAACAAGAAAGCACCGGCUAACUACGUGCCAGCAGCCGCGGUAAAACGUAGGGUGCAAGCGUUGUCCGGAAUUACUGGGUGUAAAGGGAGCGCAGGCGGACCGGCAAGUUGGAAGUGAAAACUAUGGGCUCAACCCAUAAAUUGCUUUCAAAACUGCUGGCCUUGAGUAGUGCAGAGGUAGGUGGAAUUCCCGGUGUAGCGGUGGAAUGCGUAGAUAUCGGGAGGAACACCAGUGGCGAAGGCGACCUACUGGGCACCAACUGACGCUGAGGCUCGAAAGCAUGGGUAGCAAACAGGAUUAGAUACCCUGGUAGUCCAUGCCGUAAACGAUGAUUACUAGGUGUUGGAGGAUUGACCCCUUCAGUGCCGCAGUUAACACAAUAAGUAAUCCACCUGGGGAGUACGACCGCAAGGUUGAAACUCAAAGGAAUUGACGGGGGCCCGCACAAGCAGUGGAGUAUGUGGUUUAAUUCGAAGCAACGCGAAGAACCUUACCAGGUCUUGACAUCCGAUGCAUAGUGCAGAGAUGCAUGAAGUCCUUCGGGACAUCGAGACAGGUGGUGCAUGGUUGUCGUCAGCUCGUGUCGUGAGAUGUUGGGUUAAGUCCCGCAACGAGCGCAACCCUUAUUGCCAGUUACUACGAAAGAGGACUCUGGCGAGACUGCCGUUGACAAAACGGAGGAAGGUGGGGAUGACGUCAAAUCAUCAUGCCCUUUAUGACCUGGGCUACACACGUACUACAAUGACGUUUAACAAAGAGAAGCAAGACCGCGAGGUGGAGCAAAACUCAAAAACAACGUCUCAGUUCAGAUUGCAGGCUGCAACUCGCCUGCAUGAAGUCGGAAUUGCUAGUAAUCGCGGAUCAGCAUGCCGCGGUGAAUACGUUCCCGGGCCUUGUACACACCGCCCGUCACACCAUGAGAGCCGGGGGGACCCGAAGUCGGUAGUCUAACCGCAAGGAGGACGCCGCCGAAGGUAAAACUGGUGAUUGGGGUGAAGUCGUAACAAGGUA
rnacentral:rRNA from 1 species